rnacentral:rRNA from 1 species
AGAAUCAACGCUGGCGGCGUGCCUAACACAUGCAAGUCGAACGAGAAGGGGGAGCAAUCCCUGAGUACAGUGGCGACCGGGUGAGUAACACGUGACUAACCUACCCUCGAGUGUGGAAUAACAUCGGGAAACCGAUGCUAAUACCGCAUAACAUCGCAAGAUCAAAGGAGUAAUCCGCUUGAGGAGGGGGUCGCGGCUGAUUAGCUAGUUGGCGGGGUAAUGGCCCACCAAGGCGAAGAUCGGUA